rnacentral:lncRNA from 1 species
AGGUAAAAGAUGACUUUGGUCAACUGAUCCAUCUUAUUGACGGAAGCGAUGCUUCUCAAUCGAAUUGGCUAAGAUAUGUAAACUGUGCGAGAACAGUCGAGGAACAAAAUAUUCAACCAGUCCAAUAUGAAAACAGCAUAUAUUACAUGGCGACGCAAGAUAUUUCGCCUAAAGAAGAGUUGCUCACGUAUUAUGGACAAAAAUAUGCCAAGAAACUAGGACUGGCAAUUCAGAAGAACGACC